AUAAUACUCCAUAGAUUAGAGACACUGGAAUGUUCUUUAGUCGAAAGUUCUGGCGCCUUUAGGAUGGAUCUGCGGUCGAUUAGGUUGUUGUUGGGGUAACGGCCCAACAAGCCUGUAAUCGAUACGGGUUGUGGGAGCAAGAGCCCGGAGAUGGAAUCUGAGACACGAUUCCAGGCCCUACGGGGCGCAGCAGGCGCGAAAACUUUACAAUGCAGGAAACUGUGAUAAGGGAACUCCGAGUGCCCGUAUACGCGGACUGUCCAGGUGUUUAAAAAUCAUCUGAAGAAAGGGCCGGGCAAGACCGGUGCCAGCCGCCGCGGUAAUACCGGCGGCUCGAGUGGUGGCCACUAUUAUUGGGCUUAAAGCGUCCGUAGCUGGACCGAUAAGUCUCUUGGGAAAUCCGCCGGCUCAACCGGCGGGCGUCUAAGGGAUACUGUUAGUCUAGGGACCGGGAGAGGUGAGAGGUACUCCGGGGGUAGGAGUGAAAUCCUGUAAUCCCCGGGGGACCACCGAUGGCGAAGGCAUCUCACCAGAACGGCUCCGACAGUGAGGGACGAAAGCUGGGGGAGCGAACCGGAUUAGAUACCCGGGUAGUCCUAGCCGUAAACUAUGCGCGUUAGGUGU
rnacentral:rRNA from 1 species